GGGCUGAAGACUCUGCUUGACUAGCUGAGAGGAGGUGCAUGGCCGUCGUCAGUUCGUACUGUGAAGCAUCCUGUUAAGUCAGGCAACGAGCGAGACCCACGCCAACAGUUGCCAGCAUGUCCUCCGGGGAUGGUGGGGACACUGUUGGGACCGCCUCUGCUAAAGAGGAGGAAGGAAUGGGCAACGGUAGGUCAGCAUGCCCCGAAUUAUCCGGGCUACACGCGGGCUACAAUGGUCAGGACAAUGGGCAUCAACACCGAAAGGUGAAGGCAAUCUCUUAAACCUGUCCUUAGUUCGGAUUGUGGGCUGCAACUCGCCCACAUGAAGCUGGAAUCUGUAGUAAUCGCGUCUCAAAAUGGCGCGGUGAAUAUGUCCCUGCUCCUU
rnacentral:rRNA from 1 species